UGAAUCCUAUAGCCAUGUAGAAAAUAGCUCUUUCCAAAGAGGAACUUUGGUUCUCUCUUGAUGAGUGCUAUGUAGGAAUGGACUGUGAUGCCCUCAAUGAGAGUGUGGUCCUGGAGGUGCUCUACCCGUGUCCUGCCACGCCCCUUAAUCACAGGACCUGAGUUGCAAAGGCUCCCCACCUCCAGCCACACCAUUGCAACCUCGUUCCGAGGCCAGCAUUGGGACAGUUGCAGGAUUCACCAGAGCACAGCUUCCAGGUGCAAAAUCCUGCACCCUGGGGACCCCAGUGAGAGAUGGUUUAGAUGUGGGGAUGGUUGAGGAAAAGUAAUAUUCUGUGGUCCCAAGAGUAUGUGGCAGAAGAGAGGGGUUACCUUUCUAGACUAAUGCCUCCACAAGACUGGUCCUUGUCUUGCCAGAAGCAGUUGCUACAGUGGACUUCACAUAGUCAUAGCAUUUCCUAGAGGUGUCAUCUGGGAUCUCCACCAAGCAGGGACACCAUCCAUCUGACCCCAACUUGAGCAAUAGCUUGGUCAUUUCUCAGCUCCUAGUUGUGGCUUUGCUUAUAAGGCUACCUAUUUUGACCUCUGACAAGUGUUACCGAUUGUCCCCCUGCCCUCCUGCCCUACUUCACAAAAGGUCAUUUGGUCAGAGACAUUGCUGGAAAGUUAAUGUGCGGCCAUGUUGUGAUCAAUAAGAAGUAUUCUCUGGGUCAUUUUUUAGAAAGGGUUUUCUUUGCUUUUACAGACAUUUUCUGAAAACAUUUCAAAGAGACGGAACUUGUGCCAGAGCUUGCAGCCAACUUAAAAACAUGCCUUGAGAUCACUUAAGAUUAUGUACUUAACAUAAAAUAAUUAAUAAUUUGUUUUUUUUUUAAAGGGAUGUUCUUAGCCUGCUAUCCUUCUACAGGCUCACUGUUUUUAAUUUUUAACUUGCUUUUCAGAAGACAAUGUAACCAGCCUUACUAUACUUUGGAUAUCCCAUGCAAUGGGCUUUUAUAAUGUAAGUGCACGAAUUUAAUGUGUUCUUCCAUGCCUCUGAACCAGAACAAUGUGUGUGUGCAUUGUGGUUGGUAAUCAUUUGCCAAAAGGUUGAAAGCAAUCCAAAACAAAGAAAAUAGUGUGUAAUCAAUGGAAGUAAUAUAUACACAUAGAUGAUAAUAUUUGUUUACAGUUUUGAGUGCUAUUCUAGGUGAAAAGGGAAUCAAUAAAGUGACUUAUUUCCUUGC
rnacentral:lncRNA from 1 species